CGCCUCACCGCGCCCCUCCCGACACCGCCGUGCGCCGCCCGUCCCCGACAAUGCCACCUCCUGCCCCGCCCCGCCUCGCACCCCCUGCCGCCUCCACCUCCCACCCCGCCCCGCCGCGCGCCGCCCCUUGAACUUCGUCGACGGCCGAAUCCAGGAUAGCAGCGGCGGGACCUUGCAAGGCGUCGGGGGUUCUCGGGGGCGGCACCAUGGUUGCUCUGGCGUGCUGCUGGAAGAAAAGGAGGGAGGACGAGGGAGAGGGAGAGAGAAAACUGGGAGGAAGGAGAGAAACGAGGGUAGGCACGGGCUCCCAGGGGGAGAUGGACGAGGACGAGGACGGUCUGGUGCGCUGCUGGUGCAGGGAGGGCAGCUGCUAAUUUCAUGUGGAGGAGACGCAGGGGCGGACGGCGAGCGAAUUGAAUCUGGACAUUCACCCAGGGAAGCAACAUAUAUCUUCUGAUCUUUGUCUUGCCUCCGGUGCAAUUUCAGUUUGUCCAGUAGUGCUCUUGACAAAUUUCUAGAAUGAAGAAUGAAAUACUUGGAGAUAGGCCACCAAUUCGGUGUUGAACUCAGGUUUACACAUUGGUGCACAUGAUGUGUCAAUCAAACAUACUAUAGCCCUCAUAUAAUGGCUACUGCUGUUUGCAAAGUAAGAAUCGAAUGAUGCAAAGAGAUUUAUGUUGUAGAAGAACUUACAAGGUAGUCUCUGAAGCCCUUUCAUUGGAAUUUGACGAAAUUCACAACCACAUAGGUCACACACAAUUUAAGCCUCCAUGGUAUUAAAUAUGCCAUGUCUGUCGGUCCUCUGUUUAGAAAUGUUUUAGUCACAUAUUCUUAUGUAUUACGGUAUGACAAAAUUAGAACUUCAGGCCGUUGUUAACCGUGUUUCUCCUUUGUUGGUCUUCUCUUAAUUUGUUUGUUUGCUUCAGGAUGCCCCUAAUUUUCUAACAAAUGCAUGUGAGUAAAGAUUACAAUGGCUCAAAUAGCAUGUAGAUUUAAUAAACCGAAUAAUUGAUUGUUGGUGUUGUUUUACUGAUUAGCUUAGAAGCAGAGACUUAGCAUGGGGGACUGCCGCUUGAAGAGAUGCAAAUGUUGCAACUUCACCAGAGGUUCUAUGUUGGAAGUUGUGUGUGUCGGUGGUUCAAGUUCACAAGGAUUGGCACCAUGGACUGGAGAAUUGUCGCAAACAACAUGGACACACCAGGGGCAGGGGCUGCAUGCUGCCAAGUCCAAGGCGACUGCCAAGAAGACUGGGCUCGAUGUAGUGACCGAGGAGGCGCAGGCCGCAGGAAACAGAGAAGCUGAUUAUUCUGUUUGCACGACGGGUAUCCCAAAUUCUAAUUCAAACAUUAGUGAUGAUAUAACAAUGUCGUCUGCCAAAUUGUGAUUCGGGCGAGCCUAGCUUAGCUGGGAACCACCGGAGAUUGUGUGGUGCACGGGAGACAGAGGCUCCACCGGAUAUUUUGUCGUGCCCACUAACAACAAUGACAUGGAUAGUGAAGUCAUUGCUGGACAUGAUUGCACUAUUUGUAAUUUGUUGGGUAGUCCUAUUUGGUGGAUUGUAUCUUCAAUAUAUCCGAUCUUUCUCUACAAGGAGCCUACAGUUUGUAAUGUUGUAUUUCUAAAGAAACCCUGGCAUCAGUUGAAAUUGUUAUCUUAAUCCGCUGAAAAAUAUGUAAUCUUGUUUUUGUCUUGAUGAUAUGAAGAGGAUGGAUGUAUUGUUGUGGCAUCUUAAAAUUAAUAGUGAUCUCGAAGUUUUCUUA